rnacentral:rRNA from 1 species
CCUACGGGGGGCAGCAGUGGGGAAUAUUGGACAAUGGGGGCAACCCUGAUCCAGCCAUGCCGCGUGUGUGAAGAAGGCCCUCGGGUUGUAAAGCACUUUCAGUGAGGAAGAACGCCUGGUGGUGAAUACCCAUCAGGAAAGACAUCACUCACAGAAGAAGCACCGGCUAACUCCGUGCCAGCAGCCGCGGUAAUACGGAGGGUGCGAGCGUUAAUCGGAAUUACUGGGCGUAAAGCGCGCGUAGGUGGCUUGAUAAGCCGGUUGUGAAAGCCCCGGGCUCAACCUGGGAACGGCAUCCGGAACUGUCAAGCUAGAGCGCAGGAGAGGAAGGUAGAAUUCCCGGUGUAGCGGUGAAAUGCGUAGAGAUCGGGAGGAAUACCAGUGGCGAAGGCGGCCUUCUGGACUGACACUGACACUGAGGUGCGAAAGCGUGGGUAGCAAACAGGAUUAGAUACCCUAGUAGUC